rnacentral:rRNA from 1 species
CACGUAGGCACCAAGCGUUGUCCGGAUUUAUUGGGCGUAAAGAGCUCGUAGGCGGUUCGGUAAGUCGGGUGUGAAAACUUUGGGCUUAACCCAAAGACUGCACUCGAUACUGCUGUGACUUGAGUCCGGUAGGGGAGUGGGGAAUUCCUGGUGUAGCGGUGGAAUGCGCAGAUAUCAGGAGGAACACCGGUGGCGAAGGCGCCACUCUGGGCCUGUCCUGACGCUCAGGCGCGAAAGCUAGGGGAGCAAACAGG